rnacentral:rRNA from 1 species
GCUUGUCUCAAAGAUUAAGCCAUGCAUGUCUAAGUAUAAACAUCUUUAUACCGUGAAACUGCGUACAGCUCAUUAUAUCAGUAAUUAUUUCUUUGAUGGUACCUUACUACAUGGAUAACCGUAGUAAUUCUAGAGCUAAUACAUGACUAAAAGGGCUAGCCCUGCAUUUAUUAGAUACAACCAACCCUUCGGGUUUUGGCGAAUCAUAAUAACUGAGCGGACCGUAUUCGUACGGCGUUUCUUAUUAAUUUCUGCCCUAUCAGCUUUCGAUGGUAGGGUAUUGGCCUACCAUGGCGUUAACGGGUAACGGAGAAUUAGGGUUCGAUUCCGGAGAGGGAGCCUGAGAGAUGGCUACCACAUCCAAGGAAGGCAGCAGG